rnacentral:rRNA from 1 species
UGUAAGCGUAUACCAAAGUUGUUGCAGUUAAAACGCUCGUAGUCGGACUUUGGCAGUUCCGGAUGUGUGCACGCCGUGUGCGCACUUCGCGGGGAUUGCUUUUGUGGUCUUGCGUAGGAUGAGGCACUUUUAUUAGUGAACGUCCUCACGCAACCACUUUUUACUGUGAGAAAAUCAGAGUGCUCAAAGCAGGCAUUUGCCGUGAAUGUAUUAGCAUGGAAUAAUAGAAUAGGACUUGGUUCUAUUUUGUUGGUUUGUUGGGACUGAGUAAUGAUUAAGAGGGACAGUUGGGGGCAUUUGUAUUUCGGUGCUAGAGGUGAAAUUCUUAGAUUACCGAAAGACAAACUGCUGCGAAAGCGUCUGCCAAGGAUGUUUUCAUUGA